GACGAACGCUGGCGGCGUGCCUAAUACAUGCAAGUCGAACGCAGUGGGGACGGGUGAGUAACACGUGGGUAACCUCCCAUCAGAGGGGAUAACACUUGGAAACAGGUGCUAAACCGAUACUGAUGGAUGGACCCGCGGUGCAUUAGCUGGUGGGUGAGGUAACGGCUCACCAAGGCCACGAUGCAUAGCGGGCCGGGAAGAGGGAUCGGCCACACGGGGACGGGGACACGGCCCAAACUCCUACGGAAGGCAGCAGUAGGGAAUCUUCGGCAAUGGACGAAAGUCUGACCGAGCAACGCCGCGGGAGUGAAGAAGGUUUUCGGAUCGAAAAACUCUGUUGUUAGAGAAGCGGUAUCUAACCAGAAAGCCACGGCUAACUACGUGCCAGCCGCCGCGGUAAUUC
rnacentral:rRNA from 1 species